rnacentral:rRNA from 1 species
UACGAAGGGGGCUAGCGUUGCUCGGAAUGACUGGGCGUAAAGGGCGCGUAGGCGGCUUAUACAGUCAGGCGUGAAAUUCCUGGGCUCAACCUGGGGACUGCGUCUGAUACGUAUAGGCUUGAGUAUGGAAGAGGGUCGUGGAAUUUCCAGUGUAGAGGUGAGAUUCGUAGAUAUUGGAAAGAACACCGGUGGCGAAGGCGGCGACCUGGUCCAUUACUGACGCUGAGGAGCGAAAGCAUGGGGAGCGAACAGG